ACACCUCGGGACGCAGCAGUGAGGAAUAUUGGUCAAUGGGCGGGAGCCUGAACCAGCCAAGUCGCGUGAAGGAAGAAGGUACUUAGUAUUGUAAACUUCUUUUGUCGGGGAACAAAGGCGGAGACGCGUCUCCGGAUGAGUGUACCCGAAGAAAAAGCAUCGGCUAACUCCGUGCCAGCAGCCGCGGUAAUACGGAGGAUGCGAGCGUUAUCCGGAUUUAUUGGGUUUAAAGGGUGCGCAGGCGGGAGAUCAAGUCAGCGGUAAAAUGCCGGGGCUCAACCCCGGCCGGGCGUUGAAACUGGGUU
rnacentral:rRNA from 1 species